GUGUACUUCCCAGUUGACGGGUCAGCAUCAGUUUGAGUGGUUAGAUAAAGGCUUAGAGAAUGUGGCCCUCUUCGGGGGGUGUUAUAGCUCUAGGUGCAAUGUAGCCUACUUGGACUGAGGACCGCGCUUCGGCUAGGAUGCUGGCGUAAUGGUUGUAAGCGA
rnacentral:rRNA from 1 species